CGGACGGGUGAGUAAUGCCUGGGAAAUUGCCCUGAUGUGGGGGAUAACCAUUGGAAACGAUGGCUAAUACCGCAUAACGUCUACGGACCAAAGAGGGGGACCUUCGGGCCUCUCGCUUCAGGAUAUGCCCAGGUGGGAUUAGCUAGUUGGUGAGGUAAUGGCUCACCAAGGCGACGAUCCCUAGCUGGUCUGAGAGGAUGAUCAGCCACACUGGAACUGAGACACGGUCCAGACUCCUACGGGAGGCAGCAGUGGGGAAUAUUGCACAAUGGGCGCAAGCCUGAUGCAGCCAUGCCGCGUGUAUGAAGAAGGCCUUCGGGUUGUAAAGUACUUUCAGUCGUGAGGAAGGCGUUGAAGUUAAUAGCUUCAUCGUUUGACGUUAGCGACAGAAGAAGCACCGGCUAACUCCGUGCCAGCAGCCGCGGUAAUACGGAGGGUGCGAGCGUUAAUCGGAAUUACUGGGCGUAAAGCGCAUGCAGGUGGUUUGUUAAGUCAGAUGUGAAAGCCCGGGGCUCAACCUCGGAACCGCAUUUGAAACUGGCAGGCUAGAGUACUGUAGAGGGGGGUAGAAUUUCAGGUGUAGCGGUGAAAUGCGUAGAGAUCUGAAGGAAUACCAGUGGCGAAGGCGGCCCCCUGNNNAGAUACUGACACUCANAUGCGAAAGCGUGGGGAGCAAACAGGAUUAGAUACCCU
rnacentral:rRNA from 1 species